rnacentral:lncRNA from 1 species
CUGGGAUUACCGCCUUGAGCCCCCACGCCCAGUCUCUUAAACUCUGUUGACUCUACCUCCACCUCAGGACCCACCCCUGCCGUUCACCUGCAGGCUGGUUCCUUUCUCCCCGUCCGCCCCCCUUUUUUUCUUUCAUUUCUUGCCCUCAGCCUUUGCAGAGUAUCCAGCCCCACUGAACUUGGCCAUGCCCUCCUGGUUCUGCCUUUCUUGGUGCUGUUCCUGCUGCCUGGAACAUCCUCAGGUGUCCGUUCCUCCUUCUGGAUCAGGCCCAGAUGUUCAUGUCAUCUCUGCCCUUCCCCCACCGUGACAUUUCCCCA